rnacentral:rRNA from 1 species
AGCGUUGUCCGGAAUUAUUGGGCGUAAAGAGCUCGUAGGCGGUUUGUCGCGUCUGCUGUGAAAACUGGAGGCUCAACCUCCAGCCUGCAGUGGGUACGGGCAGACUAGAGUGCGGUAGGGGAGAUUGGAAUUCCUGGUGUAGCGGUGGAAUGCGCAGAUAUCAGGAGGAACACCGAUGGCGAAGGCAGAUCUCUGGGCCGUAACUGACGCUGAGGAGCGAAAGCAUGGGGAGCGAACAGGAUUAGAUACCCUGGUAGUCCAUGCCGUAAACGUUGGGAACUAGAUGUGGGGGCCAUUCCACGGUCUCCGUGUCGCAGCUAACGCAUUAAGUUCCCCGCCUGGGGAGUACGGCCGCAAGGCUAAAACUCAAAGGAAUUGACGGGGGCCCGCACAAGCGGCGGAGCAUGCGGAUUAAUUCGAUGCAACGCGAAGAACCUUACCAAGGCUUGACAUAUACGAGAACGGGCCAGAAAUGGUCAACUCUUUGGACACUCGUAAACAGGUGGUGCAUGGUUGUCGUCAGCUCGUGUCGUGAGAUGUUGGGUUAAGUCCCGCAACGAGCGCAACCCUCGUUCUAUGUUGCCAGCACGUUAUGGUGGGAACUCAUAGGAGACUGCCGGGGUCAACUCGGAGGAAGGUGGGGAUGACGUCAAAUCAUCAUGCCCCUUAUGUCUUGGGCUUCACGCAUGCUACAAUGGCCGGUACAAAGGGCUGCAAUACCGUAAGGUGGAGCGAAUCCCAAAAAGCCGGUCUCAGUUCGGAUUGAGGUCUGCAACUCGACCUCAUGAAGUCGGAGUCGCUAGUAAUCGCAGAUCAGCAACGCUGCGGUGAAUACGUUCCCGGGCCUUGUACACACCGCCCGUCAAGUCAUGAAAGUCGGUAA